rnacentral:lncRNA from 1 species
UUUCUUUCCAUUUUCCACAUAAUUUUUGCAAACUUCUUCCUCUGCCUGGUCUGACAUCUCCUCUUUUUACUUUUCUAUUACACUGACCGUCAAUGCUUCCUUUCUUUCUGAUCUCUUAGACCAUCUUCCCUUCAUAGCUUAGAUUUGCCUCAUGAUUAUGUUGAAUACAAUUUCUUUCAGAGUACAAUAAAUCACAUUAUCCAAACUAUCCAUCCUUUCACAACUGUGCCUUGGCUUUGUGGUCCAGACAAAGAACAUUCAUGUGCUUGAAAUUACUGAACUGCAGCACUUGCCAGCACUAAACUAGAGGCCUGUAAGGAAUGGGUGGCUGUAUUUCAGAGCUGGAGCCAGUACAGCUGCUUUCUGCUUUUCAGAAGUGCAUGAAUUGUGGCUUAGCUUUUGGAGUUCAGACACAGGUAAGAAAAAGUAUUCCAUUAACACCCUUCACACUUUAAAGUGUAAAUGAAGAAGAGUUAAACAUUCUCUGAAGAUACAGUCCAAAAAUACUCCAAGGGAAGAGAAAGCCAACUGAUUGAACUGACCAAGAAAUGCAUCAG